UCGAUUUGGAGUUUGUUGCCUAGAGUGAUGGGCUCCGAAGCUAACGCGAUAAAUCGACCGCCUGGGGAGUACGGCCGCAAGGUUAAAACUCAAAUGAAUUGACGGGGGCCCGCACAAGCGGUGGAGCAUGUGGUUUAAUUCGAUGCAACGCGAAGAACCUUACCUGGUCUUGACAUCCACAGAAUCUUUCAGAGAUGAGGGAGUGCCUUCGGGAACUGUGAGACAGAUGCUGCAUGGCUGUCGUCAGCUCGUGUUGUGAAAUGUUGGGUUAAGUCCCGCAACGAGCGCAACCCUUAUCCUUUGUUGCCAGCGAUUCGGUCGGGAACUCAAAGGAGACUGCCGUUGAUAAAGCGGAGGAAGGUGGGGACGACGUCAAGUCAUCAUGGCCCUUACGACCAGGGCUACACACGUGCUACAAUGGCGUAUACAAAGGGAGGCGACCUCGCGAGAGCAAGCGGACCUCACAAAGUACGUCUAAGUCCGGAUUGGAGUCUGCAACUCGACUCCAUGAAGUCGGAAUCGCUAGUAAUCGUGAAUCAGAAUGUCACGGUG
rnacentral:rRNA from 1 species